AUUGAACGCUGGCGGCAGGCCUAACACAUGCAAGUCGAGCGAGCGGCGGACGGGUGAGUAAUGUCUGGGACACUGCCUGAUGGAGGGGGAUAACUACUGGAAACGGUAGCUAAUACCGCAUACCAUCAGAUGUGCCCAGGUGGGAUUAGCUAGUAGGUGGGGUAACGGCUCACCUAGGCGACGAUCCCUAGCUGGUCUGAGAGGACGACCAGCGACACUGGAACUGAGACACGGGCCAGACUCGUACGAGAGGCAGCAGAGGGGAAUAUUGCACAAUGGGCGCAAGCAUGAUGCAGACAUGCCGCGUGUGUGAAGAGGGCCUUCGGGUUGUAAAGCACUUUCAGCGGGGAGGCGGUACCCGCAGAAGAAGCACCGGCUAACUCCGUGACAGCAGCCGCGGUAAUUC
rnacentral:rRNA from 1 species